rnacentral:rRNA from 1 species
AAUGAACGCUGGCGGCAUGCCUAACACAUGCAAGUCGAACGGAAAGACAGUAAGCGUUUGCUCUUAACGGUGGCGGCUGGCGGACGGGUGACGAAUAAAUCGGCUUCUUAUUUUUCGGGGAGGAUAACGUAGGGACACUUACGAUAAUACAGCAUACGUUGUACGGGUGAGAGCAGGGGAUCUUCGGGCCUUGCGCGAUUGAAUGCGCCGAUGCCGGAUUAGCUAGUUGGCAGGGUAAAGGCACACCAUGGCGACGCUCCGUAGCUGGUCUGAGAGGAUGAUCGGCGACACGGGAACUGAGACACGGUCCAGACGCCUACGGGAGGCAGCAGUGGGGAAUAUGAGGCAAUGGGCGCAAGCCUGACCCAGCCAUACCGCGUGUGUGAAGAAGGCCUUCGGUUUGUAAAGCCCUGUUGUUGGGGAAGAAAAGCAGUAGGAUAAUACCCCGCUGUUCUGACGGUACCCAAUGAAUAAGCACCGGCUAACUACGUG